rnacentral:rRNA from 1 species
GAUGAACGCUGGCGGCGUGCCUAAUACAUGCAAGUCGAGCGAACGGAUGAGAAGCUUGCUUCUCUGAUGUUAGCGGCGGACGGGUGAGUAACACGUGGAUAACCUACCUAUAAGACUGGGAUAACUUCGGGAAACCGGAGCUUAUACCGGAUAAUAUUUUGAACCGCAUGGUUCAAAAGUGAAAGACGGUCUUGCUGUCACUUAUAGAUGGAUCCGCGCUGCAUUAGCUAGUUGGUAAGGUAACGGCUUACCAAGGCAACGAUGCAUAGCCGACCUGAGAGGGUGAUCGGCCACACUGGAACUGAGACACGGUCCAGACUCCUACGGGAGGCAGCAGUAGGGAAUCUUCCGCAAUGGGCGAAAGCCUUACGGAGCAACGCCGCGUGAGUGAUGAAGGUCUUCGGAUCGUAAAACUCCGUUAUUAGGGAAGAACAUAUGUGUAAGUAACUGUGCACAUCUUGACGGUACCUAAUCAGAAAGCCACGGCUAACUACGUG